AUUGAACGCUGGCGGCAGGCUUAACACAUGCAAGUCGAACGAGUGGCGGACGGGUGAGUAAUGCUUGGGAAUCUAGCUUAUGGCGGGGGAUAACUACGGGAAACUGUAGCUAAUACCGCAUUCCAUAGGCAGACCCCAAGUGGGUUUAGGUAGUUGGUGAGGUAAAGGCUCACCAAGCCGACGAUCUCUAGCUGGUCUGAGAGGAUGACCAGCCACACUGGGACUGAGACACGGCCCAGACUCCUACGGGAGGCAGCAGUGGGGAAUAUUGCGCAAUGGGGGCAACCUGACGCAGCCAUGCCGCGUGUAUGAAGAAGGCCUUCGGGUUGUAAAGUUCUUUCGGUAGCGAGGCGUUACCUACAGAAGAAGCACCGGCUAACUCCGUGCCAGCAGCCGCGGUAAUUC
rnacentral:rRNA from 1 species